CCGUACUAAACGGGGAGCUAGCGGUGCCCUCUAUCCGCAAUCCGCUAUAGCGGGGUUGAAUCCCUCCCCUCGGCAAGGCGAAAGGGCCCAUAUCUUGGGUCGUGAUAUUGAGGGCUGGGUCCCGCGCGACGUAGACUUGUGAACCCCGCCAGGUCCGGAAGGAAGCAACGGUAAACAGGGCCCUAUGUGCGCCGCGGGAGUGCCUGGCCUGAGUCAUAGCUCAUGAAAUGCCUGAUGGUCAAUGACAACGGGAGGUGUGCGG
rnacentral:SRP_RNA from 1 species